AGGAGCGUUUGUUUCAACAGCUCUUGCAACUGACUCUCACGUUGCUGUCCAAUGGUUCACUCAGCGGAUAUUAGGAUUUUACGUAUAUUUUCGGAAGAGGUAAAGUUGGUGCUUCAGCGUCUCACUUUCCGUUUCUUCGUGACUGCCGCCUUCAUGUACUUAUCCAGUGAACUCUAACGAGCGCCUGUGUUGUAUGGUUGUCUGCUAGACUGUGGGAUAUGAGUAAGAGAUGCUUCCUGUCCGGAGAGGAGUUCCAUCUGACCCAGACACGAGAAGCGAUAUUAAAGGAAGUCGGUGCAGAGCCAAAUCUCAAAGGUCCUUAUAUUAUGGAAGAAAAACAAGAAAGCCUCUCUGGAAGCUAGAGUGGCCAUCUGAUACAGUCUCAUCAAAAGAGAUGACAGGAGAAGUCUCCCAGGGAGCUUCCCAUUAAAGCAGAGAAGCACAUAAAGAAAGCUCAUCAUUAUCAUGUGUGGGUGGAAUGCCUGGAGCUGCAGCAGCCAUGUUGUGAUCAUAAGGUCAAGAAAAUUGGAAACCUGGACCCAGUUUCUGGACCUCAAGAUAUUACAGAAGCAACAAGAUCAAGGGACCUUCACUGAUGGAGAAGUUGUAAGAAACAAAGCUGGAGAAACUCACAGGGCCCUUGAAAACCAUGGGCAGGUCUGUGAUCUUUACCAACGAGAAGACUUGAGGAAGGGUGUGGAGAAAUGAGAGAAGGUGAGACAUCUCAGGGCCGAACUGACCUUGGGGAAAGACUUGCAGAGACGCGGACCGCGGAGGAAACUAGAAACAGGGAAGACGGUUCCAAGCGUGCCACAUACUGGUUCUGCUGGCUGAGAAAAAAGCAGCAAGCAUACCAUCCUCUCCUGCCACCCCGCGACUUGCACCUCUCUGACCUGUGUGGCUCCAACAGGCACCUGGGGGUUCUGUCUCACUGGGAGAUGGCCGCCUCCUGCACAGGCCGCCAGCACAAUGACAUCUGCCACGAGGCCCUCACCAGAGGCCGAGCCAACAGUGCUGCCCAACCUUGGACUUUUAGCUUCCAAUACUGCGAGCUAACCCUUUCCCUUUGCAAAGCACUCAGUGUCAGAUAUGUCGCUUUAGCAGUGGAAAACUGUGGGGAGCAACUGGGAGCAACUCGGACUAGACUAAGUUACUGGAAUUAAGACUUAUUCUAUGCAUCUGCUCUCCCACAAUAUGGCGCUGAGAAGGGAGAAACAGCUUCUACACAGCUGCCUCCAGUUCAACCAAUAAGCAGCAGGACCUGCUCCUGAUUGGAGGAGAGCAGCGUACUCGGCGUGUGGGUAGCAGAGUUGGGAUUGGUGGAAGAGGACUAUAAAGGAGGAGAGAGACAACAUGCACCAGGAACAUCCAUCUGAAGGAACACCUGUGCAGCCCCCGAGAGAGCCGGCCGGCGGUGUGCCGCUCCCCUGCGGAAGUGGGGAAAGUGGCAGGGGGCACCGCCCUUCCACGGAGGUGGAAGGGACGGUAGCCAACCCGGGAAGAACCAGCAGCAAACCCGGGGAGGGCCGAGCAGACGAAGAACAACGCAGGGUCCUGUGUCGUUCCUCCACGAAGACGGGGAGUGACAGAAAACGAACCAAUGCGUUUAACAAUUAACAAGCACUUGGUGAGUGUGAUUAGGAUGACUCAGGACACUGGCCCUCACUCUGAUGACACUGCAGCUCAUGGGGCUUAUAGUGCCCGUGCCAGUGUACACUGGGCUGCUGACAUCCCAACACCGUCCCUCCCACCCUACAGCACUCACAUACACGGCUGGAGGUCAAGUGUUUCCCCCCCGGACCUGGGAACUCAGCAUUCUCCUACAGAUCCUGGUUCAAUCAGCUCCUCCGGCCCUGUGUCUCAUGCUGCCCCAAGUAGUGCUAACCCUGACCCCUUAGCACCGCUGGGUGCUGGUCCUCUGCCUUUGGCCCCCUCUGUGCUCUCCGGGAGGAGAAAGGAGGGGAGGGAGUGUGGGCUGGGAGGCUUCUCGCUUCUCUCGCAGUUGCCCCUGACUCAGCAGUUGGCUCACAAGCUCCAGAACUGUUCCUUUUCCCUGGGACACCUCGUCGGAGGGCACUGCUAGCCCGUAAGCGUGCAGGCCCCACCACAGGGACGUUUACUGGGGGAGGGGCUGGGUGGGGACAAGCUGAUGUGCCUGUGUUUCUGCCCCUUCUCUCCCCCCUUUCUUACUGCUCUGAGAACA